CCCACACACACUCAGGAUUGGAAGCUUGAAUCAUGGCUGAAGAUCUGGACACACCGUUGUUGGAUCCUGAGAAUUUCAAUAGAGAUGGCAUCGAUUUGGCUAUAACAAACUUGAAGAGAAGACAGUGAACAAAAUUUUGAAGUUUCUUAGCUUUAUGUGGAACCCCUUGUCAUGGGUUAUGGAAGCUGCAGCAGUUAUGGCACUUGUCCUUGCUAAUGGGGGAGGUGAGGGUCCUGACUGGCAAGACUUUGUUGGGAUUAUUGUCCUAUUAAUAAUCAAUUCAACAAUUAGUUUCAUAGAGGAGAAUAAUGCGCGAAAUGCUGCAUCAGCUCUUAUGGAACGUUUAUCUCCAAAGACAAGGAUGAGUUAAAUGCCU